UACGUAGGGGGCAAGCGUUGUCCGGAAUUAUUGGGCGUAAAGCGCGUGUAGGCGGCUUAGCAAGUCGGGCGUGAAAGCCCUCGGCUCAACCGAGGAAGUGCACCCGAAACUGCUGAGCUUGAGUGCCGGAGAGGAUGGCGGAAUUCCCCAAGUAGAGGUGAAAUUCGUAGAUAUGGGGAGGAACACCGGUGGCGAAGGCGGCCAUCUGGACGGUAACUGACGCUGAGACGCGAAAGCGUGGGGAGCAAACAGG
rnacentral:rRNA from 1 species